rnacentral:rRNA from 1 species
UAAUACGGGGGGAGCAAGCGUUGUUCGGAUUUACUGGGCGUAAAGGGCGCGUAGGCGGCCACCGCAAGUCGACUGUGAAAUCUCCGGGCUUAACCCGGAGCGGCCAAGUGAUACUGUCGUGCUAGAGUGCGGAAGGGGCAACUGGAAUUCUCGGUGUAGCGGUGAAAUGCGUAGAUAUCGAGAGGAACACCUGCGGCGAAGGCGGGUUGCUGGGCCGACACUGACGCUGAGGCGCGAAAGCCAGGGGAGCGAACGGGAUUAGAUACCCCGGUAGUCCUAGCCCUAAACGAUGGGUACUAGAUUGUAGACUUACAUGGGUUUACAGUCGAAGCAAAAGUGAUAAGUACCCCGCCUGGGGAGUAUGGUCGCAAGGCUGAAACUCAAAGGAAUUGACGGGGGCUCACACAAGCGGUGGAGCAUGUGGCUUAAUUCGAGGCUACGCGAAGAACCUUAUCCUAGGCUUGACAUGUGCGAAAGCGUCAGGAAAUAAGCUGCGGAAACGCAGUCCCAACGGUAUCCAGUCCGGAACCUGAUACAGGUGCUGCAUGGCUGUCGUCAGCUCGUGUCGUGAGAUGUCGGGUUAAGUCCCAUAACGAGCGAAACCCUUGCCUCCAGUUGCCAGCGGGUCAUGCCGGGGACUCUGGAGGGACUGCCGGUGUUAAACCGGAGGAAGGUGGGGAUGACGUCAAGUCCUCAUGGCCUUUAUGCCUAGGGCUGCACACGUGCUACAAUGGCGUGAACAAAGGGACGCAAACGCGCGAGCGGGAGCCAAUCGGAAAAACCCGGUCUAAGUUCGGAUUGCAGUCUGUAACUCGACUGCAUGAAGUUGGAAUCGCUAGUAAUCGUGGAUCAGCUACGCCACGGUGAAUCCGUUCCCGGGCCUUGUACACACCGCCCGUCACGCCAUGGAAGUUGGAAGCGCCCGAAGUCCGUGAGCCAACCGCAAGGAGGCAGCGGCCGAAGGCGAGUUCGAUGACUGGGGCG